GUGGGGAAUAUUGCACAAUGGGCGCAAGCCUGAUGCAGCAACGCCGCGUGAGGGAUGACGGCCUUCGGGUUGUAAACCUCUUUUAGUAGGGAAGAAGCGUAAGUGACGGUACCUGCAGAAAAAGCACCGGCUAACUACGUGCCAGCAGCCGCGGUAAUACGUAGGGUGCAAGCGUUGUCCGGAAUUAUUGGGCGUAAAGAGCUCGUAGGCGGCUUGUCGCGUCUGCUGUGAAAACCCGAGGCUCAACCUCGGGCUUGCAGUGGGUACGGGCAGGCUAGAGUGCGGUAGGGGAGAGUGGAAAUUCCUGGUGUAGCGGUGGAAUGCGCAGAUAUCAGGAGGAACACCGAUGGCGAAGGCAGAUCUCUGGGCCGUAACUGACGCUGAGGAGCGAAAGCAUGGGGAGCGAACAGGAUUAGAUACCCGGGUAGUCC
rnacentral:rRNA from 1 species